CCGAAUUUCAAAUUAGCGGGGUUUUUAUUGUGGUUACAGCAAGGGAAAUGAACGCUGGAUGUAAUAUUACUUUAAGCCACAUCUGAAAUGAAUUGGAAGAUCAAAAGACUACAUAAUGACAUCAAUUGAGAGAAAGAAAACUUUCUUCCCCUGAACUUUAAAGAGUAUACUGUCUCAUUUCAACUCCCAGCAACCUGACGAAUACAGCAUCAGUGAAGAGCAAAUGAGAUAGUCUAGAUGAAGUCGUGCACUGUCCGGCACAGAGUAACUGUCCAGUAUCUAUCAGCCAUGGUUAUGAAAAUAUGUCUACAGAAAUGCUUUGCUCCUCUCUCUUUGUUUACAUAUUUUUUGCUAAAAUGUAUUCGGUCUCAUUCUCAUGACUUCUCAA